AUGGCACAGGUCCUCAGAGACACCAUGACCAACUUCCCUGGGUUUGACAAGUGGGCUGAUUUAGAAACUCUUUGGAAGGCUAUGAAAAGCUUGGGCACCGAUGAAGAGUAUCCUGACUCUGCUGACAUCCUGGAGUAAUGCUCAGUACUGGGAGAUCACUGCAGCUUUUAAAACUAUUCGGCAGGGAUCUUCUGGAUGACCUGAAAUCAGAACUAACUGAAAAUUUGAAAAAUUAAUUGUGGCUCUGAUGAAACCCUCUCGGCUUUAUGACACCAGUGAACUGAAGCAUGCACUUGAGGGAGCUGGGACAAAUGAAAAAGUGAUGACUGAAAUUAUUGCUCCAAGGACACCUGAGGAACUAAGAGUCAUAAAGCAAGUGUAUGAAGAAGAAUAUGGUUCUAGCCUGAAAGAUGACGUGGUGGGGGAUACUUCAGGAUCCUACCAGAGGAUGUUGGUGAUUCUUCUUCAAGCUCACAGAGACCCAGAUGCUGGAGUCAAUGAAGUUGAAGUUGAGCAAGAUGCUCAGGCUCUGUUCCAGGCUGGAGAACUUAAACGGGGUACAGAUGAAGAAAAGUUUAUCACCAUCUUUGGAACACGAAGUGUGUCUCAUUUGAGAAGGGUGUUUGACAAAUACAUGACUAUAUCAGGAUUUCCAACUGAGGAAGCCAUUGGCCGGGGGACUUCUGGCAAUCUGGAGCAACUACUCCUUGCUGUGGUGAAAUCUAUUCGAAGCAUACCCGCCUUCCUUACAGAGGUGCCCUACUUUGGUAUGAAGGGAGCUGGGACAGAUGAUCAUGCCCUCAUCAGAGCUGUGGUGUCCAGGAGUGAGACUGAUCUGUAUAACAUAAAUUCAGGAAGAUUUUUGCUACCUCUCAUUAUUCCAUGAUUCAGGGUGAUACAUCUGGGGACUGUAAUAAGAAAGCCCUCCUGCUGCUCUGUGAAGGAGAAGAUGACUAA